rnacentral:rRNA from 1 species
UACGGGGGGGGUAAGCGUUGUUCGGAAUUACUGGGCGUAAAGGGCUUGUAGGUGGCCAACUAAGUCAGACGUGAAAUCCCUCGGCUUAACCGGGGAACUGCGUCUGAUACUGGAUGGUUUGAGUGUGGGAGAGGGAUGCGGAAUUCCAGGUGUAGCGGUGAAAUGCGUAGAUAUCUGGAGGAACACCGGUGGCGAAGGCGGCAUCCUGGACCAUUACUGACACUGAAAAGCGAAAGCCAGGGGAGCAAACGGG